rnacentral:snRNA from 1 species
AAUUAAGCUUAUUAAACUAA